UCCUCCUGGGACAGAGGGAGGGCCAGGACUCAGGGGUGCUGAAGUCAGCAGCACUAGCUACCCCUGGCCCUCACAGUUCCCCUCUGCUAGCUCCUUCGCAUGGCUCAACUUGUAAACACUUGAUGUGCCUGCUUGGACCUAAAAACUUGGAAGAAAUUUAACAGACAAGGCAUGGUUCCUCAAAGGUUCCGUGGAGAUUAGCAAUUGGCCUGAUUAAAGGAAAUGUUAAGACGAGACAGAAUGAAAAGCCGCCGUGCGGCUUCCAUGCCCUCCUCCUGGCCGCAUCCAGAAAGACUGAAAAGAAGGUUAUCGCCUUAAGCAAGCAAGGCUGAGGAGCUUCUGAGACACUGCAAGAGAUCUUUAGGACAGAAAGCAUUCUGGUCUUAAUUAACCUCAGAGGAAAUCAGCAACUGUUUGAAAAACAAAAACUAAACCAAAGUUACACACAGAUACACAUACACCGAAAAGUGUAUUCUAGUAUCUCAAUGGCUCUUUUUGGUUUGUUUGGUUUUGAGAAACAGGGCUUCUUCUCUCUGAAGUCCUGGUCAUCCUGGAACUUGCUCUUUGGCCCAGGUUGGCUGGGAUUUGUUAAGAGCCAAGUCCCACUACAGCCCAGCUUGGCUUUCCAAAUCUUAUCCAAGUUACAGUUUCCUUCCCUACUGACAAUUCGGAUAUAUUAACGGAAUACAAAUCCUGGGCUGGGCAGAGUUGGAACUGGCAGAUGCUUCCUUAGUAUACAUAAGGCCCUGGGCCUGACCCUCAGCAGUGCACAGACCAUGCACAGCAGCAUGUGCCUACAACACUGCCCUGGGGACAAAGCCAGAAGAAUUAGAGCUUCAAGAUCAACUUCAUCUACACAGUGAAUACAAGGCCAUCUCAGAAUACACGAGACCAUACGUGUCUCAAAGAAAACAUAAAUCCAAGUCCAUCAAGACAGAGUAAAACCACUGUUCACAGCCUGAAUAAAAACCAUCUAAAUGUCAGAGCAAUGGCGGGUUCAGAGAGCAAAGGCACUCAGUACAAAGCUCAUACCCUGUGAGCCUGGAUAUACAUGGAGCAAAGCAAUUCUCUGCAGUCUCUUCUCCUCCACACCCACACCCAAGUAAAUGGAAAAAGAAACUUUCAACAAACAACCUAAAUGGUUACACAACCCAACUACAGAAUGGGCUUAUGAUCCCUAAUUAAAGAAAAGAAAAUCUAAAAAUAUCAAUCUGAAGAGUCUAAAAAUAUUAACUGCCUUUACAAUUUUUAGUUUUUUAAUUUAAUGUUUGCUUUGUUACAUUAAGUCUGGGCACCACAAUCACUCCUGGUCCGGAGGAGACCAGAGGAUGGCAUCAGACUCCCUGGGACUGGAGCUACAGAAGUUUGUAAGCCGCCAUGUGGGUGUAGAAGGAAAAGAACUCUGGAACCAGUGCUCUUAACUGCUGAACCGUCCCUCACCCUUCACCCCACUGUAAACACAAAAGUGUCUUAACAGGAUGUCAAUAUAAAGGAGUCCAGACUACUGAUCUUUGAUGUAUGGAUACUCAACUACUAAGUUUGUAAAUAUAGCUAAAUUCCCAAAUCCCCCAUUUCUGAAACAAUUGUUUGCAAGCAUUUCAGGUAAGGUGUUAUUUAACCUGCCUGUACUUCCCAAACCACUUAUUAUAACUCCCUAGCAGACAAACAGACAAAUACAGACAGACAGACAGACAUAUAAAUGGUGGUUCACACCUGUAAUCUUAAGCAUUUAGAAGGAUGAAGCUGAAAGAUCACCAUUAAGUUCAAGGUCACCCUGGGUGACUAACACCUCGCACUCGUCACACACACACACACACACACACACACACACACACACACACACCCCAAUUGUCUCUAGAAAAGAACCAGGCACACACACACACACACACACACACACACACACACACACACACACACACACACACCAAUUGUCUCUAGAAAAGAACCAGGCAGGACAGAGUAGAAGGUAUCCUUUUCUCUUUUUGAGUUUUGAACUAUGCUUCGAUAUGACUUGGAAGUCUGGUGCGGCUGGAAAGCAGUGGAGCCUCUGUGGUGCAGACCUGCUGGGAAGGAGUCACAUCAAUGAAGCGUGCACUCAAAGCAGCAGACGAGUCACCAAGAACAGCAUUGCCUUGGACUCUUACUCACCCCCAUUUCUUCUUCCCGUACCACAUACUGAGCCACUUUGAAUGAACUCAAAUAUUCAUUCAUGCCCUGCAAUUCUGUGUCUUCAGUCUCAUCCUGAUUUCGAUCCAGCAGUCGUUCAAUGGCCUUAUCGUCAUAAUGGAUGACACUGCUGUCUUCUCCCUCCUUGUUGUCUCCUCCUAUGAAGAACCAGGAGCCCACAACUUUCAAGUCAGUUCAGCAGCAGCAGUAGGAAAAGAAGUUCCCUCAGGACUUGCUAUCAAAAGUCCUUCCUUACUGUCUGAGAAACCCAGCUCCACCCCAAAUGUAAGCUCCUGAUUAGCUCACCUCCAUCCGUGGCUUCGUCCUUGAAUAGUUCCUCGGUGCCAAAUUUGAGGAUGUCAUCAAGCUCCUGUUUGGACAUUGAGCCAGUCUUGGAGCCCAGGCCAGGCCGCACCACUAAAUGUGUCAACAUCAUCUUCUUCUUUGCCACCUGCGUGAUGCGCUCCUCCACGGAUGCGCGAGUCACAAACCGGUAGAUCAUCACCUUCUUAUUCUGCCCAAUACGGUGGGCUCUGCUAAAGGCCUGAAGUUGAUUAAGCAAAACCAACAAUCGUAAGUUCUCCUGACUGUCACUGACAUCAAGACAACACUAGACAGAAGCUAAAGCCAAUCUUCACAUAAAAUCUCCUUUCACAGCUCUCUUUCCAGACGCCAACUUCCUAUCACAUCACCUAGAAUAGGACUACUGUUGUUUCAUAGCUACAUUUCACAUGACAGACCUUCUGCUGGAGGGUAUGGACUGCCCGGACCUCCCAAAGCUAAUACUCUACUCACCUGGAUGUCAUUAUGGGGAUUCCAGUCAGAGUCAUAUAUAAUAACUGUAUCCGCAGUGGCCAGAUUGAUCCCAAGGCCCCCAGCUCGAGUGGAAAGCAAGAAGCAGAACUGUUGAGCACCCGGUGCUAAGAGACAGAAAACACCAUGAGUUCUCUCCCGAAUUCCAAUACAUAAGUAGAGAGAGAAGGUGAGACGCUUCAGGAAAACACCAAUUAUCAACCUGGUACCUGAGGAUACUUCAAUCAACAUCGAAGUUUAUGAAAAGGGUAUUAGCAUAGUCAAGUAUUGCCCUCAAAAUAUGUAUGAAUUUCAGUGAGAAAAAGAAACUUUACAGUAGAUAAUUUUAGCAGACACCGUGCCUAGGACCAAGUAACCAAUAAUCAGCAGAAAGGACAAAUGCAGACAUCACGUGCAAUAUCCCACUGUGGCAUUCCUGGCAAGCAUCUUUCAAGAAAGAGACACUGCUUGAAAUAACUGACUAAGUCUGAAGUACCAAUGCCAGGAAUGACAUUUCACUAGGGGUGAAAUGUCAGGAGCGUUUUGUCCAACUGUAAGUAUAAAGAGUGGAAUCUACUUGGACCUAUUGGUGGGACCUGGGAUUGGAUCCUCAACUGAAAAGGACAUUAAGGGAAAACUAGCAACAUUCAGUUAGGGUCUACAGUUCAGGUGACAAUGGGAUCCAAUGUUAUUCAUUUUCUACUGUUAGAAGCUGUACCACAGUUACAUAACUUACUUUACUGAGUUUUUGUUGUUUGUUUUGUUUUUGAGACAUGGUCUCAUCUAGACCAGAUUGGUCUAGAUAGCCAGGGUAAUCUGAACUUCCUGUCCGUCCUUCCCCAUUGCUGAGGUCACAGCUGUGUCACCACUCUUAGCGGUGCUGGGGACUGAAUCCAAGACCUCACGCAAUGUUGGUGAGCACUCAUCCCCAGACAGCUCCCUGAUUCAUGCGUCAGUACGUGAGAGUAGGCCUGCCAGCACACACACGAAGUCAGAGGACAGAGCCAGUCUUCUCCUGCCACUGUGACUCCAGGACGUAGAAACGCAGGGAAGUAAGUAAGCCAGGAUGCACCUUCCAUACUCAAUCACCUCACUGGCCUUUUUGCUUAUUCUGUGUAUUGCACAUACGUGCAUGCGUACAUACGUGUUGUCAGAGGGCUUCUGGCAAGAACUUUCACACGUAGGAGAGGGAUCUGAUAAACGAGCUGGGUGACAUGUGACUUUCCCUGCUGGCCCUCACUGCCCCUGCCUUUUUCCCCAGACAGGUCUCAUGCGUCCGUGAGUUACUCCUUAGAUCCUUACUUUAUUUUAUGUGUGUGUUCGCCUGCAGUAUGUCUGCUCACAGUGUAUGUGCACUGACUGGGAGGCCAUUAAAGGAUGUCGGAUUCCCUGGACCUGGAGUUAUAAAUGGUUGUGAGCGGUCAUGUAGGUGCUGGGAAAUUGAGUCCUCUGGAAUUGAGCCAGUGCUCUUCCCAGCCUCACCGCAAUCUCGACCCUCCUACUGUACCACUCAGGGCCUGAGAACACAGGCCUGAGCCACCGGGGCCUGGGAAGGGCACUGACAGAGGCAGGUUAACGCUGGAUUGUUUUAAACUUUUAAGUCCAAACACAUUUUAAACAACAAGGAUAACUACUACAAAGAACUUAUCUCAGAAAAAAACCAACAAAAAUAACUAACUAAAAUGAAAGGUUGGGGAAAGGUGUAGUUGAGCCCCUGGGGGUAGAGACAGAUAAAGAGCACUCGCACUCUGGCAGAGGAUUCUAAGUUCGGUUCCUAGUGCCUCUGUCUGACAGGUGCUAAGAGCAGCCUCUAAGUUUCGGGCCACUUCGGGCACCUGUAUAAACAUGGUAUACACAGAGACAAGUAGGCACAUAAACAUAUGUAAAAAAAAACUUAUAACCAAAACUAAUCUGUUCUUCCUUUCAGCCAUAGGGUAUAACCAGGGUUAAAGAACUUCCCCCACCCCGGGCUGGGGAUUUAGCUCAGUGGUAGAGCGCUUACCUAGGAAGCGCAAGGCCCUGGGUUCGGUCCCCAGCUCCGGAAAAAAAAAAAAAAAGAACCAAAAGAACUUCCCCCACCCCAUCCCCGCUUAAGCAAAAAGACCAAAGACUCCAAAGGGUAGAAGUUAAGAAAAACCUCUUAAAGCUAUUCCAUUACUUGUUCAAAAGCUUUCCUCCUCCCUGUCAGUCAACCAAGACCCAAAAGAACAAGAGCUGGGCUUCUGGAGGGAUGGAGGUGCUGGACAUAGCUCGGCAGUUAGGAGCACUGGCUGCUCUUCCAGAGGCUGGGGUUCAUUCCUAGCACCCACAGGGUGACUCACCACCAGCUGGACCUCCAGCUACAAUGGACCCAAUGCUCUCUUCUGGCCCCUACAGGCACCACACACAUAUGGCGCACACUCACGUGCAGGCAAAACAUCCAGACACAAAACAAAAUCAAGUCUUAAAAACAAAACCAGUGGGGCUGAUGAGGCUGUUCGGCAGGUAAAGGUGUCUAGGUAAUCUCUGCUCAGGCCUCAGGAUUCACAGAGAACCAACUCUGUGUUUUCCUGUGACUCGCACAUCUGUGCCAUGGUGCACAUGUAUGCAGAUGCAAGCUCGCAUGCAUGUAUGCACACUUUUAAAAAAAUAGAGGAAAAUGAUCAGAGCUGGGCAGGGGCAAAUAACUCCGUCUAAAGGAAGGUCCAUCUCUAUGUGUCUGAGUCCAGGCUGGUCUACAGAGAGUUCCAGGCCAGAGAGGAUGGAUAUAAAACUGGGUUCAAUUCCCAACAGCCACACGGUAGCUCACAGCCCUCUGUAACUAUAGUACCUAGGCACACACAUGAGAUAAUUACAGUAGUACCUAGGCACACACACACGAAAUAAUGACAUUUUUGUUUUGAGACAGAAGCAGCUGAGGCUGUCCUGAACUCUCUCUGUAGGUGACCAGGCUGGCCUUGAACUCAGAUCUGCAUGCCUCUGCCUCCUGAGUGCUGGGAUUAAAGGUUAUGUACACACCAUGCCCAGCUUAUUAAUGUUAACGAACUGACUGCCUGGAGAUAAGACACUCUUCUCUUACCAUUGAAGCGAUCAAUGGCCUCCUGACGCAUGUUCCCAGUGAUUCCACCAUCAAUACGUUCAUAUUUAUAACCUUCGUGUUCUAAAAAAUCCUCUAGCAAGUCCAACAUCUUGGUCAUCUGGAAAAAGGAACCACUUAAUUACAGAGCUGUCAGAUGAUAAUCCCUUUCCUCAGUCACUAGGGCUGUCCCACUGCUGUCUGUAAAGUUCAGGAUGGGCCCACGUACCUGGGAGAAGAUGAGCACACGAUGGCCUCCCUCUUUCAGGUUCUUAAGCAUCUUCUGUAGCAGCAACAAUUUCCCAGAUGCUCUGAUCAGGGCACUGCCGUCGUACAUACCAUUGGGCAUCUUAGGGGCCUCCUGGUGACAGAAAUAAAGGAAGAAACAUGGAAGGAGACCCACAAGGAGACGUGGCAAGGCACAGGAGCCAAGGAAGCACACCUACCAUUGCUGCCACAGGGAAGAGGUACGGGUGGUUGCAGCACUUCUUAAGAUCCAUCACCACAUUCAGCAGAGAAACCUGGUUGCCACCGCCUCGAGCAUUAAGUGCCUCAAAAUUCCGAGUGAGAAUGUACUUGUAGUACUUCCUACAUGAACAGGACAAGGACCGGUCGGACGAAGAGUCUCUGAAUGACUAAUGAUGCAACCCAACAGCCUGCGAUCAUCUUUCCAACACUCCUCACUGUGGGGCUGAGCUAACAGGCAACUGCCACACCAUCCUUGUGUUAGACACAGGAAGGUGGAACGAGCAACUACAAGCUCCCGCUCCCAGGUGUGAGCUUUCCUCGGGCCCUGCUUGCUCCUAUCGGCAGACAUGAAGCUCUGUGGAAGAAACUGCUGGCGGGAUGGCGGGUGUCUGUCACGAAGCUCAAUUUGCUCCAUCCCUCCACACUCACUUUUGCAUAGGGCUCAGCUCCACACGCACAAUCAGUUCUGUCUUGGAGGGCAUGUUCUUGAAGACAUCAGCUUUGAGCCGCCGCAACAUGUGAGGCCCCAGCAUGUCGUGUAGUUUCUUAAUCUGGUCCUCUUUGGCGAUGUCAGCAAACUCUUCCAAGAAGCCUUCUAAAUUGCUUCAGGGGGAAAAGAGUUGUUAGAGAAAAAGAAAAAAGGAAGAAAGGAAAGUAACACGGGAAGUGAGCAACAAGAAGAACAAACAUAUAGCUAGGAACAGACAGACAGACAGACAGACAGACAGACAGACAGACAGACAGCCACACUUACUGGAACCUCUCGGGGGUGAGAAAGUUGAGCAGAUGGAACAAUUCCUCUAGAUUGUUUUGUAAUGGAGUUCCAGUUAGCAACAGCUUGUGUUGGAGUGAGUAACCGUUCAAAACUCGGAAGAACUGGUGAAGAGAAAUGAAAUUCAAGAAACGAAGGCACCAGAGCACCAGAAAAAUCCCAAGCUGUUUCACUGUCCAGUGAAUUAAAGCCUCUCAUCCCAUGGCUGGCAUCCUUAAAUGCCUGGCCAAAGAAGGGGCUACCAACGGUCAAGAAGAAAAUAAAGACCACUUUCCCCUCUUCUCUACUUAGGCUUCUUUCAAAAAGAUGACUCUCCCAAGGGACUAGGACUAGAGGCUCUCACCUCCCACUCCUCACCUUAGACUGGUUGUUCUUCAGCCGGUGGGCUUCAUCCACAAUGAGGCAGGCCCAGUCAAUAGAACCCAAGAUGGCCAUAUCAAUGGUGAUCAACUCAUAGGAUGUCAGCAGAACAUGGAAUUUCACAGAUGCUUCUUUCUGCACAUAACGAUAAGCCGGUUACUCACUACUGGUCCACUCCUCAGCACAACUGGGACAAGCAAGCUUUCCCUGCUCCCCAAGUUCUCUUUCUGCCUCACUCAGAGACCUGGUAAGGCAGCAAAGCAGCCCACAGCAGUGACUCCCUGUCAAGUUUCCUCUUCCCUCCCACUGAAAUACCUUCAUUCGGGAGGCUUUCUUGCCACCACGAAUGGCAUUAUCUUCAAAGGAGAACUCAUUUUCCCGGAUGAUGGCACGGCUGUCCUUGUCACCCACAUAGGUCACCACAUACAUAUCAGGAGCCCACAUCUCAAACUCUCGCUCCCAGUUGAUGAUGGUGGACAGAGGCGCGCUCACUAAGAAGGGGCCUUUGGAGUGACCCUGGAAGGAAACAGGCAGAGUCAGGGCUAAGAGCCCCCUCCCUGAACCCCAGACUCCCCCUCCUCCCUGACCCACAGUGAAGCUGACACUGGACACCUGUGCCUCUGACGCCCCUUCAUCUGUUACAAACACCAUUCACCCCUCUUCCCAAAAGGCAGUUGCCCACCUUGACAAAACCAAACUCCUCCACCUACACAAGAAUUUCCUACCACUAAGGCCUUUUACCUCCAGGCACUCAGCCUACCAGGGCUCUGAUCCUGCAAAAUCUCCACUGUAGGAUCUAGAAAGUGGCUCACUGUUUAAAAGCACUAGCUGCUUUGCAUAGGUCCCACGUCCAGAUCCCAGCACCCACAUGAUGGCUUAUAGUCUGUAAUUACAGUUUAAAGAGGUGACCCCUCUUCUGGCCUCCCCAGGUACUGCACAUAGGUGGUGCACAGCCAUACUUAUGGACAACAUACCCACACAAAGUAAUUAGAAAAAGAAAAGAAAAAAGGAUUUGUACUACAGAGCUGUCUCUUCCUAUCCCUCUGCAGUAUUUCUUUCUCCCUUCCUCCCACUCCUUAAAACACAAGAAAAUAUAGUCACAAAAUACCCACUCCAGACACUAGCGUCUCCCAGCCUCUUUACCUCCUUGUACAGGGAAUAGAGGAAGACUGCUGUCUGCACAGUUUUCCCAAGGCCCAUUUCAUCAGCCAGGAUGGUAUCGGUACCCUGAGCCCAGGAGAAGCGUAGCCAGUUUAAGCCUUCCAUUUGGUAGGGGUGCAGGGUUCCACCUGUGGCAUCCAGGUACUCCGGCUGUCGCUCAUACUUCACUGUGGGCUGAAGGAGAAGAGAGGUCAAAAGCUGGUAAAGAACCCCCUUCCUGGAAGACUGCUUCCUCCUACACGAGUCCUAGUGGAUCUUUUUUUUUUCCUGAGAGCUAAGAGAAACAAAACAAAAUAGCCCUUAGGGAAAUAAGGCAUGGUAAGACCCCCUUUUAACCCUAGUACUUAGGCUGAGAUAGAAGGAUUGAGUUCAAGACUAGUCUUUGGAUCAGGAUAUACCGUCUCAAAAUGUAACAAUAAAGAAUUUAGUUGCCUUGGAGUUGCCACAGAAUCCACCAGGCCAUAAUGGACAGAUCAGAUCCAAACCAAUGGUCACAGAGAGUCCCAGUUAAAUCCAGUGGGUCCCAGACCAAAAAGGCAUGAAUGUGGGAAAGAGAUCUGCAGGGAAGGAAGAAUGGGGUGGCUAAAGGAAGGAGGGAGGAAAGAGGGGGCACAGGGACAGUAAGCAGAAAGAACUGUGGACAUGUGUGAGCCUCAAUACACUUGGGAAAAGGGAGUGAUGGGAUCCUCACUGUCACUGCAGCAUGUGCCUUAGCAUCCUUCAGAGGACAAGGCAGCUUAUCUAGGCCUCAGGGAGACCUGACACAGACCACUAUUCAAAACAUGCAAGGCAAAGAAAGGCUCCGGUGUGCCAGGACACUAACUGCUGUCAUCGUUAAGACCAGCCAGGUAGAGGCUGGCGCACGUAAGCAAUCAAAGCACUUAGGAGGCGGAGACAGGAAAUCAGAAGUUAAAAGUCAGCCUGAGCUAUAUGAGACCUUGCCUUUCUCAAAUACAUACAUGCAUACGUUUGUACGCACGCACACGCACACAUACACAAGCCCCUUGUAUAUAAGACCACCUCCUAGUGAACACUGUCCUAACAUAAAAUAUCCCAUCUGUGGGUUUUUCCUGAUGCUUUCUGAGAGGACAAUCUAGAUCGUCUCAGCUAGAGUCAUCUACAGGUCCUGGAGCUUCACCAUGACACUGCAGCGUACUGCCCACACAACAAAUACACCAUUCCUCUUCCACCCAAACUCACAUCAACAGUUGGGGUCUCCGGAGGCCUUUCCAGUUUCCGUAAUUUCACCUUCUUAAGCUUCUUGCCAGGUCGCCCUUCCUCACCCCUCAUUAACUCCCUAGGAGAGAAAACGGCAGAGCUGCCUCUCGGUCCUUCUGAAGGAGAGCAGUUCCCCUCUUCACAGUCACCUACCUGUGGUUCCAGUAGCUCUGCUUGAACAGGUCGUAGUCCUGUAUCUCCACAUCCUCACUCUCCCAAGACGCCUGAUCGUAGGGUAAGUCUCGCCACUUUAUUAAAUAGUGAACGUGGCCCUUCUUGUCCACACUAUGAUGUCAAUAAAGAAAAACUCCUCAGAACCAGAAAGCAACUUCUCUCACCUCUCUAGUCAGCCUUGCUCUUAAAAACCAACAAAACCAUUCCAAAUGCGCCAGGCUCCACAUAGACUCAGUCUCAAGGAUGCCUAUCUUUGACCCAAUACUCUCUCUACUCUGUACUCUCCCUGUGGGCCGUACUCAGAGGAAUGUUUCUUGAAUGUAAGUCAACAGCAAGGUCCAUUCUCUUAGCCCCUUUAUUUUUUUUUUUAAAGAUUUAUUUAUUUAUUAUAUAUAAGUACACUGUAGCUGUCUUCAGAUACACCAGAAGAGGGCAUCAGAUCUCUUUACAGAUGGUUGUGAGCCACCAUGUGGUUGCUGGGAAUUGAACUCAUGACCUCUGGAAGAGCAGUCGGGUGCUCUUAACCGCUGAGCCAUCUCUCCAGCCCCUCUUAGCCCCUUUAGAAACACUGUCUGGUAGGUCAAUGGCCUCCAGGGAGCCAUGGGAUACCUGUGGUUGAGGAUCCGGUGGAUCAUCAUCCACUCCGGUUUUAUUCCAUAGCGAUAGAAGCGCUCCUCCAUCUCUGCAAACUUAGGGUCCUUGUUCUUUCGCUUUCGGCUCUUCUCCUCAUCUCCACCGAAGUCCCCAGAAGGCGGCUCAUCCAUAUCAUUCUUCCGCUGGUAGUUUCUGAACAUCACCUGACAGUGCAGCUCCAACUGGGAGCAGAAAGAGAAAGGCGGCCACCCUGGAGCUGCAUCCGGCCUCCUGCUCUUACCUCUGCACUGUCACCUCAUACAUGCAACUUGUCCCAGGCUUACCUGCAAUUCUGACACCCAGGAGCAGUGCCAGUAAGACAUGCCUUGCCAUUUCACAAAGAACUGCCUCUCUGGCCGCCCCUCCAAGGGUUUGGGAGAUGGAGUAUUAGGAUCAGCAUCUGGAGGCCGAGGCACUGGUGUAGGAGAUGGUGGCUGGCCCCACUUCCAAAUUAGGAUCUUCUGCACUUUGCCCUUAAGAGCUGGACACUGUUAAAUAGAAACCACUUAAUCUCAACUCAAACCACAGGGCUAUGCAUAAAACUCUCCAGGAACAAUAAAUAUCAGUGUCUAUGGGUAGGUGGUUAGAGCACUUGCUGCAAACACGACAGCAGGAGGUCAAAUGGCCAGCAUCUGAAGAGAGGGCUGGUCUCCCAAAGGAACCAGACUAGAUACCUGGCAUCCACUGUAGCUAAGAAUUAUUGUUCCAGGGGAUCCAAUGCGCGCGCGCGCGCAUACACACACACACACACACACACACACACACACACACACACACACACACACACACACACAUACACACACACACACACACACACACACACACACACACACACACACACACACACGGCCUACUGCCAUGGGAAGGGAGACUAAAGGAUCACUAGAGCUUGCUGCUGGCUGCCAGCCAGCUAAGCUCCAGGUGUAGUGAGAAUCUGUCCAGGGUGAUACGGUGGGUAUCGGAGUACAACACUGCUGCUGUCUGGCCCAACACCAAGGCCUGGAGCCCUGAACACACAUGUACACAUACAAUACUCGCGAAUGAACUUUUUUUCUUUUCAGGUAAGUCUCACUCUAAUAGCCCUGGCUGGCCUGGAAUUCAAUAUAUAGACCAGACUGACCUUACACUCACCAAGAACUGCUUGCCCUGCCUCUGAUGGAAAAACUACAAAGUGAGUUCCAGAAAACAAAAUAAAUAAAAUACUUCACCUCAAAUAAAAUCUACCCUCACAAUCAUCCCUAGGCAAAAACCACUAGAACUUUCUCUCCUCUUUGGAUAUUGUCACAGAGCUAGAAAGAGUCAAGAAGCAAGCUAUACAAUAAACCAGAAUAGCUAGGCACACACAAUUCACAGAGAGAGAGACUUGAACCCUUCCCUCUCUUGAGCAAGCUGAAUGCAGUAAGCUGGCUCUGGGGCAGCCAUGGCUACCGAGAGCUAAGGUGAGACACCCAGGCUCAAGUGAAGCUGGGCAUGGUAACCUCAGCUUUGCUCCUCAUUCUUGGGAACAUGAGGUACAACAGUGAGUUCAAGGCCAGCCUGGGCUGCAAAUGAGUUUGUUGCAGCAUUUGUGUGUAAGAGCUAAGUUACAGGACCAACCUAGGUGUACAUCAACAAAAGAAUGAAGAAAACAUGGUGUCUUAAUACAAUUUUUCAGAUAUAAAGAAUAAAGGAGCUGCUUUCCUUUACAGGAAAGCUGAUAAAAAUGGAGAUCAUAAAGCAAAACCACAUAUGUACAGAGAACAUAAAAGUAACACAAGACAACUAAAGAAGAGCACAGGCCGGGGUUGGGGAUUUAGCUCAGUGGUAGAGCGCUUGCCUAGGAAGUGCAAGGCCCUGGGUUCGGUCCCCAGCUCCGAAAAAAAGAAAAAGGAAAAAAAAAAAAAAAAAAGAA